ensembl:lncRNA
AUGCGUUGUUAUGGUUGCUAUGCACUUGUUUUGCAGUCUUCUCUUCAUGUCCGAACAACUUCUUGCUACUUGCUCAAUUUUCACUCAACUUCCACAAAUUAUACAUCAAAACGUAGGUAUUUUUGCUGGCUUUCAGAAAAUGUCACCAUCAUUGUUGUGAGAUUUAUAGAAUUUUGGCAAAUCUCCUCAGACCAACACAAAGUCUCAAAAAUCCCCAUAGAAAGUCAAUGGAGAGCUUGUUCAAAAUCACAGCUUGAUUUCUGUAAUGAGAGGCAUAUUCGAAUCGUCAUAUCUCCUUAACGAAGCGAAGUUAAAACAUGAGGCUUGUCCCAGUAUAUCUUCAGACACUCCUGACACUCACAAUUCAAGAAUUUCUUUCUCACCUAUUACCGUUCUGAAAUGAGUUAGACUUGUUUGAGGGUAGGAAAUUCGUCCUUCGCUCAGAUUUCUUCAGAUUUCAAACUCUGGAAAUGAUCCACUUUUUUCUCUCGUCAUAUCUUUUUAAUGGAUAUCAACAGAGACCUGAAAAUUUCCAAGAUUGUUCACCAAAGCCUGCUGUCUCUUACGGUGAAAAAAUGAUAUUGAUACUCCAAAUAGAUUUAGAGUUAGAAAGCGUUGUUUGAGGGCAAGUCAAGGCAGUUUUUGCUUUGCUCUACUCAGUUAUGGUGCAUUAGAAGUCAAAUAUCUUUAAUAAUUCAUAUUUUAAUGAUAAAUUGUCAACACUUUAAGAUUCCCUGAUCUCUUCUGAACAAAACGGUGUAAGAAUGACCGUUCUAGCCCCUACGGUUAGGAAAUUAUGGCCAUUUGUUUGAGAGGAAUCCUCACUAUGAGAAAUUCACUGCAGAAAUCCUGUCUCUGUGCUCUGUGUGUGUAAAAACGGCUGCACCUGUUUUGGCGGGAAAAAGUAUACAGCCUCUCUGAUUGGUGGAUUCAAAUUCAGCAGCUCCCAGGCUGCUUGACUGAGCUAGAAACUUACUUCUCUCUCCCUGUGUGUGUGUGUGUGUGUGUGUGUGUGUGUGUGUGUGACAGAGAGAGAGAGAGAGAGAGAGAGAGAGAGAGAGAGAGAAAGGCUUGUUAUGGGAUGAUCUCAUUGUAAGAUUUAAAUUCAAUAUAUUUAGACUGAUUGACUGAAUUGAAUCUUGUGUGUGUGUGUGUGUGUGUGUGUGUGUGUGUGUGUGUGUGUGUGACAGAGAGAGAGAGAGAGAGAGAGAGAAAGCCUUUUAUGGGAUGAUCUCAUUGUAAGAUUUAAAUUCAAUAUAUUUAGACUGGUUGACUGAAUUGGAUCUUGUGUGUGUGGUGUGUGUGUGUGACAGAGAGAGAGAGAGAGAGAGAGAGAGAGAGAGAGAGAGAAAGGCUUGUUAUGGGAUGAUCUCAUUGUAAGAUUUAAAUUCAAUAUAUUUAGACUGGUUGACUGAAUUGGAUCUUGUGUGUGUGUGUUUGAGAGAGAGAGAGAGGGAGAGAGAGAGAGAGAGGGAGAGAGAGAGAGAGAGAGAGAGAAAGCCUUUUUAUGGGAUGAUCUCAUUGUAAGAUUCAAAUCAAUAUAUUUAGACUGGUUGACUGAAUUGGAUCUUGUGUGUGUGUGUGUGUGUGUGUGUGUGUGUGUGUGUGACAGAGAGAGAGAGAGAGAAAGAGAGACAGAGAAAGCCUUUUUAUGGGAUGAUCUCAUUGUAAGAUUUAAAUUCAUAUAGUUAGACUGGUUGACUGAAUUUGAUCCUGUGUGUGUCUGUCUGUGCAUGUGUGUUACCAUAUGUGUACAUAUUUGUGGUUGUGUGACUGUUAUACUUUUUUUUGCUGGUUUUUUUUUUUCAUUUAACAAUUACAUUUGAGGGACCCUUAGCAUGUUCAGGAUUUUUUCAGCUGUCCAUUUUGCUUUUCCAAUUUUUCUAUUUAGGUUAUUACUAUUGUGCUAAGUCAUAGCAUUUCUGCUGCUUUCCAGUAUUUGUGCUAAAUACAGCAUUUCUGCUAAAUCAUACUAUUUCUUCUAUUUCAUCAGAUUUGUGCUAAAUAUAGUGUUUCUGCUACAAAAUAGUAUUUCUGCCAAAUAUAGUAUUUUUGAUUAAUUAUAGUUUUUCUACCAAAUCAUAGUACAGUUUUACUGCUUUUUAUAUGGCUUCUAAGACAACCAAUCAUAUCCGAGGGCUUGCACAUUCAAAUUUGCAUAUUGUUGCCUUCAUGGCUUCCCAGCCAGCCAAUCAUAUCUUAGGCUUGCACAUUCAAAUUUGCAUAUUGGGGCAAUCAUGGCUUCUAAGACAACCAAUCAUCUAUGUCAUAUAUCUAUGAUAUUUCAUAUUUUUAUUUUAAAUGGUCAACAUUUCAAGAUUCUCCCAUGUCUUCUGAACACAACGGUCUAAGAAUGACCGUUUUAGCCCCUACGGUUAGGAAUUUAUGGCUGUUUGUUUGAGGGGAGUCCUCACUAUGAGAAAUAGACUGCAAAAAUCCUGUCUCUCUCUGUGCUGUAAAAGCCUGCACUUGGUGCACCAGUUUUGGCAGGAAAAAGCACACAGCCCCUCUGAUUGGUGGAUUCAAAUUGAGAAUCUCACAGCUGUUUGACUGACCUAGAAACAUGCUGUUAACAGCCCCUGUUCACUUGCUGAUGCUAUGUGUGUGUGUGUGUGUGUGUGUGUGUGUGUGUGUGUGUGUGUGUGUGUGAGAGAGAGAGAGAGAGAGAGAGAGAGAGAAAGACACACACAAAGCCCUUUUUAGGGCAGCAUCUCAUUGUUGGAUAAAAAUAAAUACAUUCAGACUGGUUGACUGGCAUAGACCCUGUGUGUGUGUGUCUCUCUCUGUACAUUUGUGUAUCCAUAUUUGAUUUUGUGUGUAUUUGUUGAUUUGUGUAUCCAUAUUUAAUUUUGUGUGUAUCUGUUGGCUGUUCUUAUUUGUAUUUCUAAAUGUAUUUUUAUUUUAUUUUUUCACAGGUGAACAAAAAUUAGUUUUGAGCAAACUUAACCAUGUUCCUUUUUAUUCAGCUUGUCAUUUUACCUUUCCAAUAUUUUCACUUAAGUUAUUACUAUUCUGCUAAAUCAUAGUAUCUGUUCUAAAUCAUUGUUAUUGAGCUAUAUUGCAGGAUUUCUGCUAAAUCAUAGUAUUUCUACUAUAUUAUAUUUUUCUUUCUAAAUAUAUCAUUUCUGCUAUAGAGUAGUAUUUCUGUAAUGUUUAAGAAUGUUUGGCUAAAUAUAUUCUUUCUGUUAUCUUAUACUAUUUCUCCGAAAUUCUUGUAUUUUUGGGAAGUUAUCGUGUUUCUGGUAAGUUACAAUAUUUCUGCUAAGUUCUGCUAUGCUAUUGUAUUUCUGCCAAGUAUUAUGUUUCCUCUAAGAUAUUGCAGUUCUGCUAAGUUACUACAUUUUAGCAACGUUCCUUUGCUUCUGCAAAGUUUUUACAAAUUCUGCAACUUUUCAGCUUUUUCAGCUAGUUUCAGCUGACAGCUUCAGCGUUCCAGCAUCCACACUGCAUUUUCGCAGGAAAUGCAAAUUUUUCUAGUUAUUGUGUGGAUGCCCUAAAGGGCUUCCACACUAUUGAGUUCCUGUUUCUCUUUAUUGUGUGGAUGCCCUAAAGGGCUUCCACACUAUUGAGUUCCUGUUUCUCUUUAUUCUUUAUUAUUCUAGUUGCUUCCGUACACUUUUUGGCACUUAACUACUUCUCAGUUUUCAGCCGAUUUUCUCGUUCAAACUCUAUACUGUUCUGCUCUUUCUGCUAAUGCGGCUAUGACUUUUGGUGUUUAUUACUGUUAUACUUUUUAAAAUAUUACACUUUUUUCCUUUAAUUUGUCCCAUUGAAAUGAAUGGGAAACUUCCACAAUUCUGCUAAAACUUGCUUGUCUUUGAAACUUAACUACUUUGUCAUACUUUCACCUAGAAACUCCAUUCAAACUUUAAAAUGUUCUCAGAUUAUUGGGCUAUUCCUGUCUGAUUCAGCUUUUUCAGAUCUUCUACCGUUUUAAUCUUAUCUCUCUUUAAGUUUUCAGUUGCAAAAUUGUGAUUUUUCAGAAAAUACAUGCGUUGCUAUGGUUGCUAUGCAAUUAAGUCAGAGUGAGUGCUGGUCCGUUCUGAAUUUUCUCUUCAUGUCUAAACAACUUCUUGCUACUCACUCAAUUUCCACUCAACCCCCACAAAUUAUACAUCAAAACGUAGGUAUUUUUGCUGGCUUUCAGACAAUGUCACUAUGUUUAUUGUGAGAUUUACCGUUUUUUCGCAAUUUGCC